AUUGAACGCUGGCGGAAUGCUUUACACAUGCAAGUCGAACGGCAGCACGGACUUCGGUCUGGUGGCGAGUGGCGAACGGGUGAGUAAUACAUCGGAACGUGCCCAGUAGCGGGGGAUAACUACUCGAAAGAGUAGCUAAUAGCGCAUACGCCCUACGGGGGAAAGGGGGGGAUCGCAAGACCUCUCACUAUUGGAGCGGCCGAUGUGGGAUUAGCUAGUUGGUGAGGGAAAGGCUCACCAAGGCGACGAUCCGUAGCUGGUUUGAGAGGAGGACCAGCCACACUGGGACUGAGACACGGCCCAGACUCCUACGGGAGGCAGCAGUGGGGAAUUUUGGACAAUGGGGGAAACCCUGAUCCAGCCAUUCCGCGUGUGCGAUGAAGGCCUUCGGGUUGUAAAGCACUUUUGGCAGGAAAGAAAUCGCAUCAAUUAAUACUUGGUGUGGAUGACGGUACCUGCAGAAUAAGCACCGGCUAACUACGUGCCAGCCGCCGCCGUAA
rnacentral:rRNA from 1 species